rnacentral:siRNA from 1 species
CCGGGCUUCGUUAACAUCGCCAGC